rnacentral:ribozyme from 1 species
UGCCCAGCAACUCCUAUCCCUACCGCCUCGUGGUACUGGCUGGGGUACGACUAACCUUCAGGAAGAACUGG